UACAUACUCCCUCCGUUCGGAAUUACUCGUCCAAAAAAUGAAUGUAUCUAGAUGUAUUUUAGUUGUAGAUACAUCCAUUUUUGUGACAAGUAAUUCCGAACGGAGGCAGUACUAC
rfam:Triticum aestivum genome assembly, contig: Triticum_aestivum_CS42_TGACv1_scaffold_030999_1BL